rnacentral:tRNA from 1 species
GGUGGGGUUCCCGAGCGGCCAAAGGGAGCAGACUGUAAAUCGGCCGUCAUCGACUUCGAAGGUUCGAAUCCUUCCCCCACCACCA